rnacentral:tRNA from 1 species
GCCCAGGUGGCGAAAUUGGUAGACGCAAGGGACUUAAAAUCCCUCGGAACGAAAGUUCCGUGCCGGUUCGAUUCCGGCCCUGGGCA